rnacentral:rRNA from 1 species
AACGCGAAGAACCUUACCCAGGCUCGAAAUGCAGGUGGCGAUAACAGAGAUGUUAUUUUCCGUAAGGACGCCUGUAUAGGUGCUGCAUGGCUGUCGUCAGCUCGUGCCGUGAGGUGUUGGGUUAAGUCCCGCAACGAGCGCAACCCUUAUCAUUAGUUGCCAACACGCAAGGUGGGGACUCUAAUGAGACUGCCUAGGUUAACUAGGAGGAAGGUGAGGAUGACGUCAAGUCCGCAUGGCCUUUAUGUCUGGGGCUACACACGUGCUACAAUGGUCGGUACAGAAGGCAGCAAGACCGUGAGGUGGAGCAAAUCCGUAAAACCGAUCUCAGUUCAGAUUGUAGUCUGCAACUCGACUACAUGAAGCUGGAAUUGCUAGUAAUGACGUGUCAGCAACAACGUCGUGAAUACGUUCCCGGGCCUUGUA